rnacentral:rRNA from 1 species
AUGAACGCUGGCGGCGUGCCUAAUACAUGCAAGUCGAGCGAACAGACGAGGAGCUUGCUCCUCUGACGUUAGCGGCGGACGGGUGAGUAACACGUGGAUAACCUACCUGUAAGACUGGGAUAACUUCGGGAAACCGGAGCUAAUACCGGAUAAUAUAUUGAACCGCAUGGUUCAAUAGUGAAAGACGGUUUUGCUGUCACUUAUAGAUGGAUCCGCGCCGCAUUAGCUAGUUGGUAAGGUAACGGCUUACCAAGGCGACGAUGCGUAGCCGACCUGAGAGGGUGAUCGGCCACACUGGAACUGAGACACGGUCCAGACUCCUACGGGAGGCAGCAGUAGGGAAUCUUCCGCAAAGGGCGAAAGCCUGACGGAGCAACGCCGCGUGAGUGAUGAAGGUCUUCGGAUCGUAAAACUCUGUUAUUAGGGAAGAACAAAUGUGUAAGUAACUAUGCACGUCUUGACGGUACCUAAUCAGAAAGCCACGGCUAACUACGUG